rnacentral:rRNA from 1 species
UACGUAGGUGACCAGCGUUGUCCGGAUUUACUGGGCGUAAAGAGCGCGCAGGCGGUCGUUCAAGUCGAGUGUGAAAGCCCCCGGCUCAACUGGGGAGGGUCAUUCGAUACUGAUCGACUUGAAGGCAGGAGAGGGAAGUGGAAUUCCCGGUGUAGUGGUGAAAUGCGUAGAUAUCGGGAGGAACACCAGUGGCGAAGGCGACUUCCUGGCCUGUUCUUGACGCUGAGGCGCGAAAGCUAGGGGAGCAACAGG